rnacentral:rRNA from 1 species
CGGACGGGUGAGUAACGCGUGAGAAUUCGCCUUUAGGAAGGGGAUUACAGGGGGCAACGCCUGCUCAAACGCCAUAUGCCAUCGGGUCAAAAAAGUAAUCUGUCUAAAGAGACGCUCGCGGCUGAUUAGCUAGUUGGUGGGGUAAAGGCCUACCCAGGCGACGAUUAGUAGCUGGUCUGAGAGGACGAUCGGCCACACUGGAACUGAGACACGGUCCAGACUCCUACGGGAGGCAGCAGUGAGGCAUUUUCUGCAAUGGGCGACAGCCUGACAGAGCAAUACCGCGUGAGGGAAGAAGGCUUACUGAGUUGUAAACCUCUGUUACCUAAGGGGGAAGAUCUGACGUUACAUAGGAGACGAAGCAUCGGCUAACUCCGUGCCAGCAGCCGCGGUAAGACGGAGGAUGGCAAGUGUUAUCCGGAAUCACUGGGCGGAAAGCGUCUGCAGGUGGUUUCUUAAGUCAACUGUUAAACCUUGAGGCUCAACCUCAAUUCAGCAUUGGAAACUGGGAAACUUGAGUAUAGUAGGGGUAGAGGGAAUUUCCAGUGGAGCGGUGAAAUGCGUAGAUAUUGGCAAGAACACCGAUGGCGAAGGGCCCUCUACUGGGCUAUUACUGACACUCAGAGACGAAAGCUAGGGGAGCAAAUGGGAUUAGAUACCCCUGUAGUC